rnacentral:rRNA from 1 species
UACAGAGGGUGCUAGCGUUGUUCGGAAUCAUUGGGCGUAAAGGGCGUGUAGGCGGUUUGCUAAGUCAUGUGUGAAAUCCCUCGGCUUAACCGGGGAACGACGCAUGAAACUGGCAAGCUAGAGUACCAAAGAGGGGGGGUGGAAUUCCCGGUGUAGCGGUGGAAUGCGUAGAGAUCGGGAAGAAUACCCGUGGCGAAGGCGGCCAGCUGGGCCAGGUCGACACUGAGGCGCGAAAGCGUGGGGGAGCAAACAGG